rnacentral:tRNA from 1 species
GGCCGGUUAGCUCAGUCAGUUCAGCAUAGUGCUAACAACGCUAAGAUUGCGGGUUCGAUUCCUGUUCUGUCCC